rnacentral:rRNA from 1 species
UGGGGAAUAUUGCACAAUGGGCGGAAGCCUGAUGCAGCAACGCCGCGUGAGUGAUGAAGGCCUUCGGGUGUAAAGCUCUGUCUUUUGGGACGAUAAUGACGGUACCAAAGGAGGAAGCCACGGCUAAUACGUGCCAGCAGCCGCGGUAAUACGUAGGUGGCAAGCGUUGUCCGGAUUUACUGGGCGUAAAGGAUGCGUAGGCGGAUUUUUAAGUGAGAUGUGAAAACCCUAAGCUUAACUUGGGGACUGCAUUUCAUACUGGAAAUCUAGAGUGCGGGAGAGGAGAAUGGAAUUCCUAGUGUAGCGGUGAAAUGCGUAGAGAUUAGGAAGAACACCAGUGGCGAAGGCGAUUCUCUGGACCGUAACUGACGCUGAGGCAUGAAAGCGUGGGUAGCAAACAGGAUUAGAUACCCUGGUAGUCCACGCCGUAAACGAUGAGUACUAGGUGUAGGAGGUAUCGACCCCUUCUGUGCCGCAGUUAACACAAUAAGUACUCCGCCUGGGAAGUACGAUCGCAAGAUUAAAAACUCAAAAGGAAUUGAC